GUUCCACUAGAUUUAAAAUUAAUUUAAUAAAAUAAUAAUAAUUUCCGUUCGUAGAUUUCGUUUAUUUUUAAAAUUCACCAUGUAAUGAUAUUUUAUAUAGCUAAUGCAUAAAUUCUAGUCCACCAAGUAGAACACUUUUAUUUCAAGUUGUUUCGUGCAAAACGUAGUCAACAAAACUAUGGGGUCCAUAAUCAAGCUGCUUUUAGCGUUAACCAUCAUAGCGCAAUGUUGCACGCACGGACAACGUGUAAGACGGCAAGCCGAAGACGAUACCACCGGCGCUGGUGAUGGUGGUGGUGAAAGUGAUGCAUCAUCAAUGUUAGGACCCAAUCGAGAGUCUACAUCUUUCUUCACGAGCAUAACCACCUUGCUUGAGACACUACCCGAAGAAUUUCAAAGGUUAAUCGCUCAAAUCAUGAGACCCAUUAAUGAACUUAAAUAUGUAUUAAACAAUGUUUAAUUUUCAUUAAAGAAUGCAAUGAAGUUAA